ACUAUCACACGUUUACAACUUCGCUGCGAAUGGCAGCUGCACAAUAUUUGCUGUGCAUGAAAAAAAUUUAAUUUUUAUAUUUUAACAAAACGAGGCCGCCAAUUAUAAACACACAAAGGCCUAGCCCCAAAGAAUGAUGCUUUUCAUGCUGCUAUUCAGUCGGCAGGGCAAGCUACGGCUGCAGAAGUGGUACAUGGCGUAUCCGGAUAAGGUGAAAAAGAAGAUCACCCGGGAGCUAGUGACCACGAUACUGGCCCGCAAGCCCAAGAUGUGCUCGUUUCUGGAGUGGAAGGACUGCAAAAUCGUAUACAAGAGAUAUGCCAGCUUGUACUUCUGUUGCGCCAUUGAGCAGAACGACAACGAGUUGCUGACCCUAGAGAUUAUCCAUCGCUAUGUGGAGUUAUUGGAUAAGUACUUUGGCAGCGUUUGCGAGCUGGACAUCAUAUUCAAUUUCGAGAAGGCAUACUUCAUCCUGGAUGAGCUGCUAAUUGGCGGCGAGAUCCAAGAGACUUCAAAGAAGAAUGUACUUAAAGCGAUUGCUUCACAGGAUCUGCUACAAGAGCAAGAAGAGUUCUUUUACUCACUGCAAUAGAUCCUAAGAUACGAUUCUGUUUGUGUGUGUUGUUCAUUUUUUGUUUAAUAGCCCAAUUCAAAAUUGACGAUAUUGUAAAGCACACACACACAAACAAACAAACACACACGUUGUAAACGCCUCGAAAAUUGAUUGCAUGCCACAGCAACUUGCCCUCCGCCGAAAACGAAAAGAAUUGAUGAGACCCCGCAGAGUUUCUUCGAUGAUCAUGGCCUGGGAUAAGAUGGCAGGCCCAUCAAAUUAUAACAGUACUUAUUUUGCCUUAAAAUGUAUGCGUGUAUAUGUAUUCAAAUCUAACCUUAAAAGUGCAUCAGUUUUAUUAUAGAAUACGCUCCAUAUAUGGAGCCCGGCAAAUGCAAUUUGCAAAAGUCCUCACAUCCCCUCAAAAAGCCCCACACACAUUCAUACUUUUAAAGGAUAACUUAGAGAAUAAGCAAGGAAAGGCAAAGCGAAACGAAAAGAAUAAUCGACGGUGUGCUCAACUUUAGAGAUAUAAGAUAAAUCUGAUGAAAAGACACCCUAUGCAAAAUAUGCAAUAUCCAAUAUAUAUCCCAACGUAACUAAUCAAACAAAA